rnacentral:rRNA from 1 species
UACAGAGGGUGCGAGCGUUGUCCGGAAUCACUGGGCGUAAAGGGCGCGCAGGCGGCCGAUCAAGUCAGAUGUGAAAGCCCCGGGCUCAACCUGGGAAUAGCAUUUGGGACUGGUCGGCUAGAGUUCGGGAGAGGAGAGUGGAAUUCCCAGUGUAGAGGUGAAAUUCGUAGAUAUUGGGAAGAACACCGGUGGCGAAGGCGGCUCUCUGGACCGAUACUGACGCUGAGGCGCGAAAGCGUGGGGAGCAAACAGG